AGGACGAACGCUGGCGGCGUGCUUAACACAUGCAAGUCGAGCGGUAAGGCCCUUUCGGGGGUACACGAGCGGCGAACGGGUGAGUAACACGUGAGUAAUCUGCCCUCCACUUGGGGAUAAGCUUCGGAAACGGGGUCUAAUACCUGAUACGACAACUACCUGCAUGGGUUGGUUGUGGAAAGUUUUUUCGGUGGGGGAUGUGCUCGCGGCCUAUCAGCUUGUUGGUGGGUAAUGGCCUACCAAGGCUUCGACGGGUAGCCGGCCUGAGAGGGUGACCGGCCACACUGGGACUGAGACACGGCCCAGACUCCGUACGGGGGGCAGCAGUGGGGAAUAUUGGACAAUGGGCGGAAGCCUGAUCCAAGCAACGCGCGUGAGGAUGACGGCCUUCGGGUUACGUAACCUCUUUCAGUACCGUACGAAGCGCCCGUUGUGGUGUGACGUAGGUACAGAAGAGCACCGGCAACUACGUGCCAGCAGCCG
rnacentral:rRNA from 1 species